GAAGUGGUAGCUCCGUGGUUAAGACGUCUGACUUCCGAUCGGAAGGUUGUGAGUUUAAAUCCCAGCCCCACCA